AAACAAGUCAGUAGAAAAUUGAGGUUUCUGAGCAAUUUGCAGAUUAAUAACCACUGGAGAUGUGGGUCCAUAUAACCUCACCGAGCGAAAAAGUGAGACCCUCCCCUCUCUCCUUCUCUUGAAUAAGGACCUACAGUAGAUAUCUUGAGAAGCAAAAAAAGAGAAAAGCAGAAACCUACAUUAUGAAAGAUGGCCCUGGAGUUGUCUGAUAUUUGCAAGAGCUCUCCAGUCUUCCAGCCCUGCCUCUUUCCCCUCCUUUUAAAAACUCUAGACUUGACGCACACCUGCAAGGUCUUCCUCGGCCCCUCCUCUGAUGUCUGAAACAGCCCUUCACACGUCAGUGGCCCAAGUGGCUGCCUUAUGGAUGACAGAGUUGCUGAGGUGAAAGUAGCUCAUGGCGCGAGAUCCAGCACCUUCUGCAGUAUGGUCAUCCUUGUUACUGGGGCUGAUAGGAUCUGAUGGGAAGAACUCAGCUGUGUCCACCGUCAUUUUGACAGGAGACAUCCUUUUAACUUCAUGAAGCCCCACAUGAUCUGGCCUCUGCCUCUCUGUGAUCACCUCCGCCCUCUCCUCCACCUCACUGGUUCCACCCACACUGACGUCCCUCCUGUCCCAGCCAUUCCUUUUGCUUGGAGUGCUUGUCCCUCUGAUCUUAGCAACAGUGAUUCUCAUCACUCCAUUGUCAGCUUAGUGAUCCCCUCUUCCGAGAGGGCUCUCCUGACCACCCCUUCUAAAGUGGUUCCCAUUCACUCCUUAGCACAUUUUCUUCUUUAAACUUUUGCAGAGCUUUUUUCACCAAUGAUUUUUUUUGUUUACUUAAGUAGUUGCUUGUUUAUUGACUAUCUCUUCCAGCAAUUGAUAAGCCCCAUGAAAGCAGGGGUCCUGUCUAUCUUAUUCCCCCAAAUUGUAGAACAGAGCCAGGCACAUAGUUGGCAUUCAACAGAUAUUUGCUGAAUAGGUGAAUGGAUCAUUUGCUCAACAAGCACUUAUAAAUGCUCCUUGGUAGACAUUAUGGAAUUCAGAAAUUUGAAGCCGGGUACACAGUAGGUUCUCAGUAAAUGCUGGUGCCAGCAUUGCUUUCUUGCAGAUCAGUGGUCAGCCCAGGGAGACCAGACCCACUCCCCUGGCUAUUUCCUUGUAUUACCUCUUGGUGAAUGGCAGCAACAGCUCCCUGGGAGACACUAUAAGGAUGUUUAGGACACAGUACCCUGUGCAAAGGGAGUGCUCAUUUACAUGCAUUUAUCCAUUUUAUUCACUAACCAGUACUCACAUAGUACUGUCAAGAAUUCUGAAUCUGAGACUUUAUCUUACUGGCAAGCUAACAAGUUUGCCUGCCACCAUUUCAUUCUGAUAGAAGAUAGGAGACUCUUGGGUCAGAGAGGAAGGAUAGUUUAUCACUCACAGCAAUUGCAGAGUAUUAGCAUCUUUUUAGUGAUACCUCAAGCCCUGACUUCCGCAGAGUGACACAAAGAGGGCCUGAUGACACCUGCAUGCUCAGUGAGUUACAUGAGGGGAGCCCUGAGCUUAGGGAACUUGACUAUAAUGGACAGUCUGUCUGCUCUUUGCUCUGGAGGGAGACACCAUCUCUAUCUUCCAGAGUUGUUUGAUAUACAUGUCUUUGAAAAGGUAGUCCAGAACAAAGAGCAGUCAGUGCAUCUGCUCACAAGAUGUGCAGAAAUGCUUGGGACCUGUGGAGAAUUGCCUCACAACAAGAAGCCUAGGAGGCCCUCAGAUUUGUUGAAUGAAUGAAUGAAUGCCAGGUGUUGCAUGCAGCAUUAUAUAGUUAAAUAAGACAUAGUUUCUGUCAUUAGAGUUCAUGUCUUCUUGGCCGGGUGUGGUGGCUCACACUUGUCAUCCCAGCCCUUUGGGAGGCUGAGGGGGGUGGAUCACAAGGUCAGGAGAUCGAGACCAUCCUGGCUAACAUGGUGAAACUCCGUCUCUACUAAAGAAUACAAAAAAUUAGCCGGGCAUGUUGGCGGGUGCCUGUAGUCCCAGUUACUCGGGAGGCUGAGGUAGGAGAAUAGUGUGAACCCAGGAGGUGGAGCUUGCAGUGAGCCGA
rnacentral:lncRNA from 1 species